CCUACGGGUGGCAGCAGUGGGGAAUAUUGCGCAAUGGGCGAAAGCCUGACGCAGCGACGCCGCGUGAGGGAUGAAGGUCUUCGGAUCGGAAAACUCUGUCAGCAGGGAAGAACGGUCACUGUGCUAAUCAGCAGUGAAUUGACGGUACCUGAAAAGGAAGCACCGGCUAACUCCGUGCCAGCAGCCGCGGUAAUACGGGGGGUGCGAUCGUUAAUUGGAAUUACUGGGCGGAAAGCGGUCGUGGGCCGUAUGCCAACUCAAGGGGUAAAACCCCGGGGCCAACGUGGGAAGUGCCUUUGAAACUGGCAAACGUGAGUGUGCGAGAGGAUAGUGGAA
rnacentral:rRNA from 1 species